AACGCACGAGACCUGCGGACCUGCGGAGGGAUCAUUACCGAGUUAUACAACUCAUCAACCCCUGUGAACUUACCUACAACGUUGCUUCGGCGGGAACAGACGGCCCCGUAAAACGGGCCGCCCCCGCCAGAGGACCCCUAACUCUGUUUUUAUAAUGUUUUUCUGAGUAAACAAGCAAAUAAAUUAAAACUUUUAACAACGGAUCUCU
rnacentral:misc_RNA from 1 species